rnacentral:rRNA from 1 species
UCAAAGGAAUUGACGGGGGCCCGCACAAGCGGUGGAUUAUGUGGUUUAAUUCGAUGCAACGCGAAGAACCUUACCAGGGCUUGACAUCCUGCUAACGAGGUAGAGAUACGUCAGGUGCCCUUCGGGGAAAGCAGAGACAGGUGGUGCAUGGUUGUCGUCAGCUCGUGUCGUGAGAUGUUGGGUUAAGUCCCGCAACGAGCGCAACCCUUAUUGUUAGUUGCUACGCAAGAGCACUCUAGCGAGACUGCCGUUGACAAAACGGAGGAAGGUGGGGACGACGUCAAAUCAUCAUGCCCCUUAUGUCCUGGGCUACACACGUAAUACAAUGGCGGUAAACAGAGGGAUGCAAAACUGCGAAGUGGAGCGAACCCCUAAAAGCCGUCCCAGUUCAGAUUGCAGUCUGCAACUCGACUGCAUGAAGUCGGAAUCGCUAGUAAUCGCGGAUCAGCAUGCCGCGGUGAAUACGUUCCCGGGCCUUGUACACACCGCCCGUCACACCAUGAGAGUCGGGAACACCCGAAGUCCGUAGCCUAACCGCAAGGAGGGCGCGGCCGAAGGUGGGUUCGAUAAUUGGGGUGAAGUCGUAACAAGGUAACCGU